UACGUAGGGUGCGAGCGUUAAUCGGAAUUACUGGGCGUAAAGCGUGCGCAGGCGGUUUUGUAAGCCAGAUGUGAAAGCCCCGGGCUUAACCUGGGAAUGGCAUUUGGGACUGCAAGGCUUGAGUGCGGCAGAGGAGACUGGAAUUCCUGGUGUAGCGGUGAAAUGCGCAGAUAUCAGGAAGAACACCCGUGGCGAAAGCGGCUCUCUGGAACGGUACUGACGCUGAGACGCGAAAGCGUGGGGAGCGAACAGG
rnacentral:rRNA from 1 species